CAAAUUAUUAUGGGCCUAAGGCUUUUGAGCCCAAACGAGAUACAAAGGGAGAGGUUGAGUAUCAUAUUUAUUCGAUAUCCUUGUUUCACUUUGUUUCACGUCUCUCUCUAAAAGAUACUCCCUCGCUAGUGUUUUUCUCCGCCACGGCGGAGGCGGCAGAGUUGGUCCAAAACAACCAAAUAACACUAUCAAAUUACUCAUUUCAACCUCUUCUUUCUUAUUCUAGCAAUGAUUUCUCCUAAAACUCAAGCCAACCCCUAAAUCGAAC
rnacentral:lncRNA from 1 species